UUCACCUUUUUUUGUGUGCGUGUGAAGGAGAUAAAACCUUUUCUUCCUUUUCUUUUUUUAAAAAAAAUCUCAGCCCUCCUCUCUCAUUUCCUUCUCCGAGCGACUCAGAGCGAGAGAAAACAAAGCAAGGAGAAACACUCAUCUACAACUGCUGGAAGGGAACCUAAGCCAAACUCCAGCUCCGCCGUUCCACGCACCCACCUACGGCUGCUGGAAGGGAUCCCCUCUGCGCGGACUUCUCUUCCAAAAUUCCCAAUUUCUACCUUCUUCGUCCGUUUGAAGCCAGCUCAUGAAACAAGGGAUUGCCCUCUUCCUUCCCUAUUUUUUAAUCUAUUGAGGGAUAGCGAGCUUUGAUUGAUUCCUUAUCCUCAAAUGGGGGUUUUCUAUUUGUUUUGGCAGCCAAGUACCAGACCAACCCCCGCCUCAUCCACUUUACAUCGCCGUGCUAACAAGGGUGUAUACGUCGUAGCUGCUGGAAAUGAAGGAUUGCAUGAGUUUUUUUUUUAAAAAAAAUUCUAUAAGUUGUUGGAAGGGUGCCCUUACUGAAAUUAUAAGGAGUUGCUGGCUUAUAAGUCCUUGGAAUAGGAAGGGUGGUGCUGGAACUCUGUUGAAUUUCUUGCUGUUGGAAGUUUUGAGCAUGUCCAACUCUACAGUUUAGGUGUUUGAACUCUUGCCUUAGUCUUUUGGGGUUUACGAUUCAAUGAGCUCUGCCACGGCACCAAUCGAUCCUCCACCCAUGAUGGUAGAUCACCUAUACUCCUUAUACGGCAGAUUGAAUAAGGGAAAGCCACCCUCAUUGGUUAAGAACUCUUGUGAAAACCUCAUCAUACGUGAGGAGCCAACACCAGAAACUACCCCUGUAGUUGACCCUUCGUCUGUUUCCAGAUGCUAUAUAGAGAAGGGCAUGUUCUCGGCGGUCCCCUUAAUUGUUUUAUAUAUUUUUUUCAUGUGCCAUUACUAAGGGUUGGUCGGAAUGGUUGUGCUUGAGUUGAUAGAGCAAACUACUUGAGAUCUUUUGUGAAGAAUUGAGGCACCAUUUUCUCAGGGCUUUGCGUGGUCUUCUUACUUGAUUCAUUGAGAAAAUUAGGACGUACUGUAUUUGGGAUACGGGGUGCUCGUAGCAUAGAAAUAUCUCUUUAGUCUCUGAAAGUAAAAGUUGCAAUUGAUGCUUUGAGCCUCAAACAAAAUGAAUUAAAGAGCCAGUGGCGUAAGCUACGAGACCUUCUCCUCGACAAAUGAACUACUAAUGACGCCAUUGAGUGCAUGGUGGAAACAGUGAAAGGAUCAUCUUGCAGUGCCUCCUUUGCUCUAUUUGGUCAUGCGCUGUGAUCUAGUUGAGAUUGUAUUUCUUUGGCGUGAGGACUGAUUAGCUUCCCGCAUAGUUUUUUUUUUUUAUUAUUUAUUUUUGAAACCAUAGGGUGCAUUGAUCUUUGGCAUAUACAACUUUGUUUUGCUUGAGUUGUAUUUCUUUUGGUUAGCUUAAAACUUAUGUUAUCAGGACCUUGCAAUGUAGUAUUAUUAUGUAUGAACUGCUAGAACCUAGAUUAAUUUCUAGAAUGCUUGAGGCAUGUUGUAAUCGUGCUUGUCUUAUAUAUUUUGCUUGGUUGGAGAUA